rnacentral:rRNA from 2 species
CGGGGUGAGUAACACGUGGAUAACCUACCUAUAAGACUGGGAUAACUUCGGGAAACCGGAGCUAAUACCGGAUAAUAUUUUGAACCGCAUGGUUCAAAAGUGAAAGACGGUCUUGCUGUCACUUAUAGAUGGAUCCGCGCUGCAUUAGCUAGUUGGUAAGGUAACGGCUUACCAAGGCAACGAUGCAUAGCCGACCUGAGAGGGUGAUCGGCCACACUGGAACUGAGACACGGUCCAG